rnacentral:rRNA from 1 species
GACCGGAGUGGACGCAUCACUGGUGUUCGGGUUGUCAUGCCAAUGGCACUGCCCGGUAGCUAAAUGCGGAAGAGAUAAGUGCUGAAAGCAUCUAAGCACGAAACUUGCCCCGAGAUGAGUUCUCCCUGAGACYUURAGUCUCCUGAAGGAACGUUGAAGACGACGACGUUGAUAGGUCGGGUGUGUAAGCGCAGCGAUGCGUUGAGCUAACCGAUACUAAUGAACCGUGAGGCUUAACCUU